rnacentral:rRNA from 1 species
UGCCCUGUGACUAUAAGUUUAACGGCCGCGGUAUUUUGACCGUGCGAAGGUAGCGCAAUCACUUGUCUUUUAAAUGGAGACCUGUAUGAAUGGCAUAACGAGGGCUUAACUGUCUCCUUUUUCUAGUCAAUGAAAUUGAUCUCCCCGUGCAGAAGCGGGGAUUAUAACAUAAGACGAGAAGACCCUAUGAAGCUUUAGAUAUAAGACAGAUCAUGUUAAACACCCCUUGAUAAAGGCUAAAACCAAAAGAACCCUGUCCCAAUGUCUUUGGUUGGGGCGACCGCGGGGAAACAAACAACCCCCACGUGGAGUGGGAGCAC